ACCAUUUCCGUCAGAUCUAACACCCUUAUUUUAUAUUUUUUAUCGAAAGAUAGUAAUGUUUAACUAACAUUACUGGUGAAAUUUUUCUUUUCUAAUCAUUAUUAAAUUUUGUACAAAUUUUUGAAAAUUGGGGUUUUCACCACUUUUUGAGGCAUGCGGAACAAAAAUAGUAACCCUAGACGAGGUGAGUAAGUUAUUCACCUCACCCUAUUAUAUCAGCUGUUGUUUACUUUUUGAAAUGUCAAAAAGUCAAUCGCGUAAAUAAAGCAUUUUGUUUUCAAACGAAUAUUAUCACGUUCCGAAGUAUUCUAUAUUCUAGUCGAUUCCAGUAAAAUUUCACGUUGGAAGUGCUAUUCGAUCACUCUUCGGACUGGACGGCUCGACAGAAAGUAUCAGUUCUUCCGGUAGAAUCCUCGGAAUGACAGCCAGCGAAAUGCUCGCGACAAUGCACAAAAAAAAUUGCAUGUGUCAUUAAGGUGCCACGCCGAGUGAUGCCGAAACAAAUGGUGUAUCUGGAAACUGAACAAGCAUUGAUAAAGGGCACGACGAGCGAAACCCUGGAUCUACACUUGCCCAUAUCUCGUCAAACGUCUCAGGUGGCGGACUUGUGGAUUGUUGUACCGGUCAGCUGUUGGUGUGGACCCGAGGUGAUAACUUCCAAUGUUACAGCGUAAAAACAGUAUUCCGCCAUCACGUCAGUGAAGACAUUCCUGGUUCCAAUGGUAUCCCCAAUGGAAAGUGCUCGCACGAAAGCUUUAGCGGCUCCAAGUCUAACGAAAUUAAAGAUCAGAACAUCAUCUUCCACUCAAGUACUUCCGGCUCCAACACUAUCCACCACCAUCGUCGGUGGCGAAAUUUACGAUUACGACGAAGAUGAAAAUACAUAGUUCUGUAGUUUGCUCUGAUCUAAAGCUAAAAUGAUACAAGUAGCGGUGUAGGAAGCCGGAUCAUAUUCUUGGCACUUUUGAUUCACUUCGGUAGUGGGGUUUUUAACAGCUUCAGAGCUUAUAUUUGGGCACAAUAUGCGUCUUACUGAAGCGCAAUGUAGUAUUGCAAAGUUUCUGACGAUUCGGCCGAGAAUAAAGCCCCAUUCCAAAGCGAAUCAUGGAAGUGCCCUAGUGGUUCUGUACCCUACUGUUAGUGGACAGUCCCCUAUAGUCACACUAGUGGCCUUUUACGGCCGUUUUACUAUUAGGUAAUCAUUACAAAACAUUUUUUUGAAAGGAAACUCAUCAGCUAUUUAUGCAAGUACCAUUGUUUAACAACUCGAUUUCGUAAAAAAUAAUUGAAAUAAAUAGUUUUGAUUAAAAU